AGGACGAACGCUGGCGGUGUGCUUCACACAUGCAAGUCGAACGAGGUAGCAAUACCUAGUGGCGGACGGGUGAGUAACGCGUGGGAAUCUGCCUUUAGAUGGGGGAUAACGGGCCGAAAGGUCCGCUAAUACCGCAUAGGCCGCAAGGUUAAAGGAGUAAUCCGUCUAAAGAUGAGCCCGCGUCCGAUUAGCUAGUUGGUAGGGUAAAAGCCUACCAAGGCGACGAUCGGUAGCUGGUCUGAGAGGAUGAUCAGCCACAAUGGGACUGAGACACGGCCCAUACUCCUACGGGAGGCAGCAGUGGGGAAUCUUGCGCAAUGGGCGAAAGCCUGACGCAGCAACGCCGCGUGAGGGACGAAGGCCUUCUGGGUUGUAAAACCUCUUUCCAGCCAGGGACGAUUGUGACGGUACCUGCAGAAGAAGCCCCGGCAACUACGUGCCAGCAGCCGC
rnacentral:rRNA from 1 species